UACGUAGGGUGCAAGCGUUGUCCGGAAUCAUUGGGCGUAAAGAGCGUGUAGGCGGCUCGGUAAGUCCGCUGUGAAAGUCCAGGCUCAACCCUGGAAUGCCGGUGGAAACUGUCGAGCUAGAGUCCGGAAGAGGCGAGUGGAAUUCCUGGUGUAGCGGUGAAAUGCGCAGAUAUCAGGAGGAACACCAAUGGCGAAGGCAGCUCGCUGGACGGUACUGACGCUGAGACGCGAAGCGUGGGAGCAACAGG
rnacentral:rRNA from 1 species